GUGCUCACUUUGGCAGCAUAGAUACUAAAAUUGGAAUGAUACAGAGAAGAUUGGCAUGGCACCUAUGUAAUAAUGAUAUAAAUACAUGAAACAUUCCAUUUUUUU
ensembl:snRNA U6 U6 spliceosomal RNA